UACGUAGGUGGCAAGCGUUGUCCGGAUUUAUUGGGCGUAAAGGGAGCGCAGGCGGUGACUUAAGUCUGAUGUGAAAGCCCACGGCUCAACCGUGGAAGGUCAUUGGAAACUGGGUCACUUGAAUAUAGAAGAGGAAAGUGGAAUUCCAUGUGUAGCGGUGAAAUGCGUAGAUAUAUGGAGGAACACCAGUGGCGAAGGCGACUUUCUGGCGCAUAACUGACGCUGAGGAUCGAAAGCGUGGGGAGCGAACGGGAUUAGAUACCCGGGUAGU
rnacentral:rRNA from 1 species